AUACGUAGGGAGCAAGCGUUAUCCGGAUUUACUGGGUGUAAAGGGCGUGUAGGCGGGAUUGCAAGUCAGGUGUGAAAUCUGGGGGCUUAACCCCCAAACUGCACUUGAAACUGUAGUUCUUGAGUGAUGGAGAGGCAGGCGGAAUUCCCAGUGUAGCGGUGAAAUGCGUAGAUAUUGGGAGGAACACCAGUGGCGAAGGCGGCCUGCUGGACAUUAACUGACGCUGAGGCGCGAAAGCGUGGGGAGC
rnacentral:rRNA from 1 species